AUGAUUGAUAUUUUAUCAGUCAGAUGUAUACACACCACGGAGCAGUGGAAGGCAAGCGUGUCCGUCCGUCCAUCCACCCGUCCGGUUGAGUGCAGGCUCCGGUGGGUCCCUUGCCUGGCCUCAUCUGUCGUUGGCCGAGUGGGAGACUACAGGCCGGCGCCAAAUGGAGGCCGUUGGUGUGGACGCAUCGGGCUGCUGUUCGGUCGACGAAAGGAACGGUGCAGUGGCGGUGUUGGUGCCGGGUUGGUUGGUACGAGGGAGGUGAAAGUGGUAGGAAGGAGGCAAAGAAAGGCGCCGCGGACUUGGUGGUGGUGGUGGGGGUGGCCGUCGCAUGCCUCCCUUGUCUCGGUCCUGUUUCCGUUCCCGUGGAAAACAAACCGGGGCCAACCAGCUUGCCCCGCCCGUCCCUCUCCGCGGGGAGAAAGUGCCAAUCUCUUUGCCACUGGGUGCCGUGCCAUCUCCGCCGGCGAGGCCGAGAUGAGGUCGACGGUGGAGGUGUCCGGUUUGGCCUCGUGCUCUGUAUGCAUGUAUCUAUCCCUGUCUGUGUUACUGUGUGUGUAUCUGUCUCGGCUGGCUGCGCGAGGACCUGUGGCGCGCGUGCUGUUGGUCCACGCCGCUGGGAAGAGAGAGAGAGAGAGAGAGAGAGGUGGAAGGGAGUGA
rnacentral:rRNA from 1 species